UACGAAGGAUCCAAGCGUUAUCCGGAUUUAUUGGGUUUAAAGGGUGCGUAGGCGGACUAUUAAGUCAGUGGUGAAAGCCUGCAGCUUAACUGCAGAACUGCCAUUGAUACUGAUGGUCUUGAGUACAUUUGAGGUGGGCGGAAUGUGUCAUGUAGUGGUGAAAUACUUAGAUAUGACACAGAACACCGAUUGCGUAGGCAGCUCACUAAACUCUUACUGACGCUGAGGCACGAAAGCAUGGGGAUCAAACAGG
rnacentral:rRNA from 1 species